ensembl:lncRNA
ACUGUUGUUUAGAAGCAGGUCAAAGUUGUUGGAGAAUGUUUGCCCCAGCCACAUGCUCUGAGCCAGUCAAACUACUUGUGGAUCUUCAUUCUCCUUUUACUGAUGUGGGUCAUCACCGCCUUCUACUUCACAAAGAGAGAAAAAAGAUGGAUCCUCUUCCUCUACAAUCUACAGAUCCAGAAACUUUCUCCUUCAUCAAAAGACAAUGACAUCGGCUAAGAAAUCAAAAACAGACAUUUAUAAAGGUCAUACAUUC